rnacentral:rRNA from 1 species
UACGGGGGGUGCGAGCGUUGUCCGGAAUCACUGGGCGUAAAGGGCGCGUAGGUGGUUUGAUAAGGGUGUGGUGAAAGUCCGGGGCUCAACCCCGGAUCUGCCGUGCCGACUGUCAAACUCGAGGACUGUAGAGGCAGACGGAAUUCCGGGUGUAGCGGUGGAAUGCGUAGAGAUCCGGAGGAAGACCGGUGGCGAAGGCGGUCUGCUGGGCAGUUUCUGACACUGAGGCGCGACAGCGUGGGGAGCAAACAG